rnacentral:lncRNA from 1 species
UCUGUGGACGGUUUACGGUUUAACGGGCUUUUCUGCGUUUCUCACGUUGGGAGAAAAAGCUGCGGGGCGGCCCUCGUGGCCGAGAUGCCACUGUGUGCCCUGCCAGUCGGCGGUGGAUCCUGAGGGGCAGGAGGUGCCCACCGAGUGCAGGGGGCAGAACGCUAAGCACUGCGACUACGAAAUGAACCUGUGCUGGAACGAGAUCAAGCGCAAAUCCCACAACAUCAGGUACCGUUCAUUCACAAUUAUUCCCCUAAUCGAUAAGAUUUACUAGGUUUAUAGUUUAAUUGUGACCCUAAUAGGUUGUUAUGUAAUUAUCUGGGGGAAAUCUCAAAUACAAACAAGCUGUACGUACAGUACAGCACAGGGUUUCUUGAAUUUAACCUUUAUUUUAGUGCAUCAGGGCACAAUUUAUUAUUUUCACGC